rnacentral:rRNA from 1 species
UUGACAUGGGGGCACCUGUAUCCUGCAAUGCCGCGUGAGUGAAGAAGGCCUUCGGGUUGUAAAGCUCUUUUGUCAGGCAAGAAACAGCAGCUCUAACACAGUCUGCGAAUGACGGUACCUGAAGAAUAAGCACCGGCUAACUACGUGCCAGCAGCCGCGGUAAUACGUAAGGUGCAAGCGUUAAUCGGAAUUACUGGGCGUAAAGCGUGCGCAGGCGGUUAUACAAGACAGGCGUGAAAUCCCCGGGCUUAACCUGGGAAUGGCGUCUGUGACUGUAUAGCUAGAGUGUGUCAGAGGGGGGUGGAAUUCCACGUGUAGCAGUGAAAUGCGUAGAUAUGUGGAGGAACACCAAUGGCGAAGGCAGCCCCCUGGGAUAACACUGACGCUCAUGCACGAAAGCGUGGGGAGCAAACAGGAUUAGAUACCCUGGUAGUCCACGCCCUAAACGAUGCUGACUAGUUGUUGGGAAUCUACAUUCUCAGUAACGUAGCUAACGCGUGAAGUCAGCCGCCUGGGGAGUACGGUCGCAAGAUUAAAACUCAAAGGAAUUGACGGGGACCCGCACAAGCGGUGGAUGAUGUGGAUUAAUUCGAUGCAACGCGAAAAACCUUACCUACCCUUGACAUGUCACUAACGAAGUAGAGAUACAUUAGGUGCCCGUAAGGGA